UUGACCUCAAAUCAGGUAGGACUACCCGCUGAACUUAAGCAUAUCAAUAAGCGGAGGAAAAGAAACUAACAAGGAUUCCCUUAGUAACUGCGAGUGAAGAGGGAAAAGCUCAAAUUUAAAAUCUGGCAGUGUUUCGCUGUCCGAGUUGUAACCUAGAGAAGUGUAACCUGUG
rnacentral:rRNA from 1 species